rnacentral:lncRNA from 1 species
AUUUUUUAUUUAAUUCGUUUAAAAUAUUUUUCCAUGGUUACAUGAUUCAUGUUCUUUCUCUCCCCUUCUCUCAUCCCCCUCCUGUAGCCAAAGUGCAAUUCUUAGGAGGGUAAUUUAUCCAAGGUCACAUAGUCCAUAAAUAUCAGAAACAGGACUAGAACCCAGGAAUCCUAAUGCUCUGUCUAUUGGAAUCCCCAGGCUGCUUCCACAGAUCCAGAGGCAAUAGACAUUCUGAUCAAUGGAGAAUAGACCCAGAGCAGCCAACUCAGACUCUGAGAGAUGAAAACCAUCACAAAACUAGAAAUUAUGGGAGUUCGGGGUCUCCUGUCUCUAAUUCCAGCUCUCUUCUGUUACAGCAUUUAAGCACUCGGUGACAAUGUGAGGAAGUGCCACUGGCUUCUCUUAAGGAUAAAGGCCUAGACGAAAGCCCCUGUGGGGGAGACACAUGCUGCUGAUGCUUUUCAGUGCCUUAAGAACAAGACCCAGGCCCAGGAAAAACUUUCCUGGCUUAGAAACUUUU